GCUUUAACAAUACUCAAAUUCAAGGUUGAAUGAUACAGAGAACAUUUGCAUGGUCCCUGGGCAGUGAUGACAUACAAAUUGUUGAAGUAUUAUUCCAUAUUAUU